UACGGAGGAUGCGAGCGUUAUCCGGAUUUAUUGGGUUUAAAGGGUGCGCAGGCGGUGCGUUAAGUCAGCGGUGAAAUGUCCCGGCUCAACCGGGGAGCUGCCGUUGAUACUGGCGCGCUGGAGUGCGGACGGCGCCGGCGGAAUGUGCAAUGUAGCGGUGAAAUGCAUAGAUAUUGCACAGAACACCGAUCGCGAAGGCAGCUGGCGAGGCCGUUACUGACGCUGAGGCACGAAGGCGUGGGGAU
rnacentral:rRNA from 1 species